rnacentral:snRNA from 1 species
AUGCUUGCUUUGGCAGCACAUACACUGAAAUUGGAAUGAUACAGAGACUAGCAUGGUCCCUGGGCAAGCUUGAUACACUAAUCUGUGAACAUUCCAUGUUUUU